UCCAACAAAGAAGAAAGAACCAAGUCGAAAGAAAGAAAAGAAAAAGAAAAGAAGAAUUG
rnacentral:ribozyme from 1 species